GACGAACCGAGCGAACGUUGUUCGGCAUUACUGGGCGUAAAGGGCGCGUAGGCGGCGACCCAAGUCAGAUGUGAAAGUCCUGGGCUUAACCUGGGGACUGCAUUUGAUACUGGGUUGCUUGAAUUCGGGAGAGGAUAGCGGAAUUCCCAGUGUAGAGGUGAAAUUCGUAGAUAUUGGGAAGAACACCGGUGGCGAAGGCGGCUAUCUGGACCGACAUUGACGCUGAGGCGCGAAAGCGUGGGGAGCAAACAGG
rnacentral:rRNA from 1 species